UAACUAUUGAAAAAUCAAUCAAUCUAUGCUUGGGUUUCACAAUUUCUUUUCAACGGCACAUUCAAAAAAGGACUUCCUUGUCGUGAGAAUGAAACUUUUUAAACAUGGCGAUAGAUCUAAGAAACUUUAUCGUUGGAUUUUGUUUGAUAUCUUUCAAAUUUGUUGUCAUAGUAACUACUAGUAUAUCAUGGUAUUGUACUGAGCAAUACGAGUGUUAUGGGACCUGCUAUAGAGCAGUUACAGGACAAACUUGUACUUUUUUGUCGUGGUCGAGGGUGUCUCAUAUAUGUACAGGUUAUAAUCAAAAAUAUAUUCUCACAUCAUAUCUUUGUAAAACCACUUGUCAAAGAGAGACUUGCUGCAGCGGAUUUACCGGGGAUAACUGUAGUACACGUGAGUUAAAUGACCAAUAUAUUUUUGUAUAUAAUAAUGUAAUCAUAUGACCUUCAGUCGCAGAAACAUCGUUAUGGUUUUUCCAUUGCUGUGUAAACUUGGUUAUCAGGUAAGAUGCAAAGUACAUCCAUCUCAUUCAUUGAUUGCAUAAUGAUAAUAAUUGUUUUUGCAAUACAGCCUAUUGUGUUUUCAUCAGUAUAACAACAACAUCACUGGCAUGUUUGUAUCCUAUGCAUACAUCAGUUUAUAUAUUACUUCAUAAUCAUUACAUAUAUCAUAUCAUAUAAAAUUGCAUACAUGAUUUCAUAUAUCAACUCAAACGUGAUUUCAUACAUCAUAUGAUCCAUUAUUUCAUGCAUCAUUUCACGUUUUAUUUAUCAUUAUUUCAUCCAUUAUUUGAUACACAAUUCCAUACAGCAUAUUAUAAUUUAUUACAUAUAUCAUUUCACGCAUCACUUUAUAUUUCAUUUCAUACAUCAUUUCAUACAAUUCUUUUAAUCAUUACAUGUUUCAUUUGAUACAAAAUUUAUUGCAUACAUCAACUCAUAUCUUAUUUCAUACAAUAUUUCAUAUUAUCAUUUCAUGUUUUUUAUACAUAAUUUCAUACUUCAUUUCAUUACAAAUUACAUUUCGUACAUUAUUCCAUACAGCAUUUCAUAAUCAUUUUAUACAGCAUUUCAUAAUCACACCAUUUCUAAAUAUAAAUGACGGGUAUUAGACACCAUAGUGCAAUCUUGAAAAAUUAUUGACAAAUGUGAUCAAUACAAAAUAAAAUAUAACAAUGGAAUUUCAAUUGCAUUUAUUAUAAUUGUUAGUGUCAAUUGGAAUAUACAUUUACAAGAAUGUUAAGGUAAGACAAAAGUUAAACAAUAUUCAAAGUUGAUCUGUGACUAAUUUUGUAAAGCACUCGUUUUAAAAACAGUUUUCAAACAGAUGAAAGGCCUUCCAAUGGAAAUAACUGUGUACCCCUGAUCACUGAUUUAUUUUUGUAUUGCUACAAGAGGAAUUCCUUGUUAUGUUUCUCUCCUAAUUUACAACAGGAAUUUAUACAUGCAUUCCCUUCCCCCUCAUAUCCCAUUUUGUGUCCGUCUCCUCCCCCUGAACACACACCUUUUCUUUACACCCAUUGUCCCUUAAAUGCUCGUACCAGCUAAUUUAGUCCUUCUCAUUUCAAUUAUUACAUGUGCCUCUCCUCCUGUCACUAUCCUUAUGUCCUCUCCCGUUUUUGGUUCGGUGACCUCUGAGUUUCCUAUUGGUGCGGCUUGAUUGUGUCACGUGUUGCGUCCCGUGAACGUUGCCUUGCCUCGUUGAUCUUUGUUCCUAUUUUACAUUAAAAGUUGAAGCAUUACUGAAAAAACAAAUGUUCAUAACUUUUUUAACUAAAACAUCAAGACAAUGCUAUGCUGUUUUUAUUUUUUCAUUUAUUUCAUAUUUCAAAAGCAUAUAAAUAUAAUCAUUCAUAUUUACCUACAACAUUUGUAACUUAAUAUAUAACAUAUCUAUCUUAGUCAGAUACAUAUUCUUUUACCUUACGUUCACUUUUUACAAUCAAGAAGCAGACAUCACAAACUCAAAGGCAAACAAACAAAAACUUAACAUUUUCCCAUUUGAACAAACAAUAUAAAGUAGAUACGACAGAAAUUCAACAAAGAAAAACCGUAAAAAAACUCUCAAAAUAAUAAAGAAUAAAGAAAAAACCACUAAAACAAACACGCUUACACUCGAAAAAUGCACACACACAGCAACACAAACACACAAAAAGGGGAAAAGGCGACAAGUGAAUCAGUUUUAUUUAAUUUUUUACGUUUUAUGGUUUAAUUUACAUAAUAUUGUUGUUUUUGUCAUCAUUUUUAUUUGUUAAAGUGUGAGAUAGUUUACUCCAUUUUUGUUUGUACGAUUAAACUUGAUCAUUUGACAAUGCAAUUGCUUCUUCUAUCUGUACCCUUAAUAGCAAAAAGUUUUUAAAACUAUCAAAGUCGGCUUACUUCUUUUGUAUUACAUUUUUGAAAUGUAAUAUUUCAUUAGAAUGAUGAUAUAAUUUACUACAUUACUAUUUAUAUUGAUUGUAAGCUCUCCAAAAAUCACUGUUUCAUUACUGUAUGAAAAAUGAAGGUUGACUGACAAGAGAAAAGAAUGUAAGUUUGCAAAGUAUUACAUUCCCAAAAUAGAUGAUGCAGUGUUUCUAAACAACCGCAGCAAAAAUCAAACAAAUUCGAACUGCAUAGUUUAUAUUUGAAAAGCAUAGUGUUUGUUGCAGAAACGUAUACUGAACAUUUCUUAAUGUCACAUCUAUAGUACUUUGUAGUGGUAUAGUAUAUUUCUUAUUCCAAUUCAAUUCUAUAUCUAUUUUUUCCCAUUGCUCUUCAUUUUUAUUUAUUGUUUUGGAUUUUGCAAUAUUAUUGAAUAAUAUAUAUAAAAUGUGUUGCUUUUUAGUUUCUCAGGGUAUUGUUUUGGUAUAUUGCUAUGUUGUAACCAUUAACUCAUACUUUUUUCUUCAAAUGACAAGAGUUUGUUAAACAUUGAAUAAACAUUUAAAAAAUCAAUCGUAUUGAGUAGCAAAAGGAGGAAGUUUACAUAGUGUAUCUAUAGAAUAUCUACGACAUAUGAUUGGUUAGUAAACAUUUUACGUAUACACGCAAUGCAUGUUUCAAACUAAAAUGUCGCCGAACUUAAUAGGACUAUCUUCCAUUUGUUUUCUAUUUCUAAGUUGUUUUAGAACCGGUAAGUGCAUCUUUUGUGGAAACCAAACUUUUGAUGGUUACCUGCUACCUUCCAUAAAUUGCUUUGUAUUUCCGUUUAUUUUAUAGAUAGGUAGAAGAUACAAGAAUGACAUUUUAUCUUGUCUUUCACGAAGUUUUCAGUCUCCGAUGUUUCAAAGGGUUGAACCCUCUGGUUGCUAUUAAGCACAUAUUGUCGUUCUUCAUGAAAAAAGAUAACAACCCAGCAAACUCCUUGAAACAGAGGGGUUUGAACUUUCGAAUUUUCGGCGAUGGAUAACUUUGUGAAAGAGAUAUUUAUUUUUUUAUUGUUUCCAGAGUUAUUUCUGUUUUAAUCUUAUUUUCUAUAUGUUCAUUUUUAAAUUAUUUUUAUCUAUGUUUUGUUUUUGUUAAAUCAUCUCCUAAAGGUGUUUUACAUUAAUCAAAUGUGAAUAUUUAGUACAAUGUUAAUAUUAUAUGUUCUUUUCUUCCAAAAAGUGAAGCCUUCAUAAACUAUUUAGAAAUAUUUAAUUAAUCUUUGUCAGGUUUUUGGUUAAAAUAUACCUACAAGUUCUGCGUUCCACACUUUUGAAACUGGCAGUUAUCCAAAUCAAUAAAACUGCAAUAGAAAGAAUAACAAACAAAAAAGAAAAAAAUGCGAUAAAUAUAAACCUAUUUGUAAUG